AACGAACGCUGGCGGCAUGCCUAACACAUGCAAGUCGAACGGGAUCCUGGUUUCGGCCAGGUGAGAGUGGCGGACGGGUGAGUAACGCGUGGGAACCUGCCCAGUGGUGGGGGAUAACUGCGGGAAACUGCAGCUAAUACCGCAUGAGCCCGAAAGGGGAAAGAUUGAUCGCCAUUGGAGGGGCCCGCGUUCGAUUAGGUAGUUGGUGAGGUAACGGCUCACCAAGCCUUCGAUCGANAGCUGGUCUGAGAGGAUGAUCAGCCACACUGGGACUGAGAUACGGCCCAGACUCCUACGGGAGGCAGCAGUGGGGAAUAUUGGACAAUGGGGGCAACCCUGAUCCAGCAAUGCCGCGUGAGUGAUGAAGGCCUUC
rnacentral:rRNA from 1 species